rnacentral:rRNA from 1 species
GAUGAACGCUGGCGGCGUGCCUAAUACAUGCAAGUCGAGCGAACGGACGAGAAGCUUGCUUCUCUGAUGUUAGCGGCGGACGGGUGAGUAACACGUGGAUAACCUACCUAUAAGCCUGGGUAAACUUCGGGAACCCGGAGCAAAUCCGGGAUGUUUUUUUGAACCGCAUGGUUAAAAAGUAAAAGACGGCUUUGCUGUCACUUUAAGAUGGUUCCGCGCUGCAUUAGCUAGUUGGUAAGGUAACGGCUUACCAAGGCAACGAUGCAUAGCCGACCUGAGAGGGUGAUCGGCCACACUGGAACUGAGACACGGUCCAGACUCCUACGGGAGGCAGCAGUAGGGAAUCUUCCGCAAUGGGCGAAAGCCUGACGGAGCAACGCCGCGUGAGUGAUGAAGGUCUUCGGAUCGUAAAACUCUGUUAUUAGGGAAGAACAUAUGUGUAAGUAACUGUGCACAUCUUGACGGUACCUAAUCAGAAAGCCACGGCUAACUACGUG